GUUGUACCUUUUGUUUGUCUAGCACCUGACAGAGAAGGCCACGAGAAAGUUUCUUGAGAUGGAAAGAUAACCGGCACCCGGUCGCUACCUUUUCCUGACCUCACCUGCCACUGUGCUUAGGAGCCAAGUGAACACAGCAAAACAAGAAGAAAACCCAGGCAAAGGGCAGUCAAUGCAGAUGGAUCAAAGCUGGGUUUGGCUGCCAACACGCUCUGACCGUAGCUGUUAUCAUGGCCUUCAUCCAUAGUUGGCAGCUCACCCUCCUCAUCACAGCAUGUGUUACCUUCCUCUCUGAGGCCAACUUAAUUCAAAUGAGGGCAGCGGUGGGACACUCCUGUGAGGACCAGCAUUUUCAGCUUGGCUGCACCAUCGCAGAAGAAGUAUCAACAGAGAAGAGGAGGAGAAGAAGAGGAUAUGAAGGUG